rnacentral:rRNA from 1 species
GACGAACGCUGGCGGCGUGCUUAACACAUGCAAGUCGAACGGAAAGGCCCAGCUUGCUGGGUGCUCGAGUGGCGAACGGGUGAGUAACACGUGGGUGAUCUGCCCCUAACUUCGGGAUAAGCUUGGGAAACUGGGUCUAAUACCGGAUAGGACAAUCGUUUAGUGUCGGUUGUGGAAAGUUUUUUCGGUUAGGGAUGAGCCCGCGGCCUAUCAGCUUGUUGGUGGGGUAAUGGCCUACCAAGGCGUCGACGGGUAGCCGGCCUGAGAGGGUGGACGGCCACAUUGGGACUGAGAUACGGCCCAGACUCCUACGGGAGGCAGCAGUGGGGAAUAUUGCACAAUGGGCGCAAGCCGGAUGCAGCGACGCCGCGUGGGGGAGGACGGCCUUCGGGUUGUAAACCUCUUUCGACAGGGACGAAGCUUUGGUGACGGUACCUGUAUAAGAAGCACCGGCUAACUACGU